CGCGCGCUGCGGGGCCGGCCGGGCCCCCGCCUGGCUCGGGACUCCCGGCUCUCCGGCUCUCCGGCUCUCCGGCUCUCCGGCUCUCCGGCUCUUCGGCUCCCCGGCUCCCCGGCUCCCCGGCCCUCCCGCUCUCCGGCUGCCGGCUACGCGCCGCCCCGGGAGCCGCCACCGCCGGAGGGAGGGCCGAGGCCCGAGCAGCCUCGAGGUGGCUCCCCGGAGCCCGCGGAGGACCGCGAGCCGGGAAGGUGAAUGCAGGCGGGCCCCGGCUCGAGGCUGCACCUGCCCGGGUCUCCCCUAAACUGUCCGGCCCAGUAGGCCUGGGAAAUCAUCUACUGGAUGCUAGGAGUAAACGAACUUCUGCCUUCUCAGAACUAAUUGUCUGGUGGAGAUGUAACAAGUCAACAGACGAUCCAGCCUGUCACAGUUGAUAACAGAGUUUCAUGCAUACUCUUAAAACAUCUAACCCUCCUUCUACACAUCAAAUUCUGGCUUUGGAAUUUGAAUCUUGAGCACAGGAACAUAAGAUGGAAAAUCUAUCCUGAAGCUUUCUAAAAGGACCACCCAUUAACUCCUGCUGCCUGGAUUCCUCAGGUACCUGAAUUCCUCUUCUUUCAGGGACCUGCCAGGUCAGAUCCUAUAUAUUCUGUGAGCUUUCUUAUAUCAUUCCAAUAAGAUUUUUUUAAGGAUCAGUUUCUGUUUCUGGCACCCUGAGAACCCUGACUUGUACAGAAAGAUUCCCAGAAAAUGUGGGAUAUGAGCUGACAUAUACAACUGGAAGGGAUGGGACAUAUUCCAUGCAUGGAGGACAUUAUCGGCAAAGCCUCUCAAGAACUCUGCUUGGCCUGGUUCAAGGGCAGACUCCAGGAGAGGAGAUACUGGUUUAUGGGCAUGCACUUGCUUCUGAGAGCUGUCUGCACUCAGUGUGUUGAGGAAACAGUUUCUGAGCCUGCAAGAUUGAGAGUUUUGCUAAAUUCAGCAAGGCUGUUCAAGUAGAAAGCCAGUGUACUCUGAAUAAUGCCUUUUCAAAUGGAGGAAGAAUUGAAUUCUAGAAUCGCAUACUCCUGGAACAGUUGGAGAUGGCAGUUUGCUGAGUAUGAUUUUUGCAAGAAGAUUCUGUAACGAAAUGUUGGCCUCAGGACACCUGGGUGGCUCAACGGUUGAGCAUCUGCCUUCGGCUCAGGGUGUGAUCCCAGGAUCAGGGAUCGAGUCCCACAUCGGGCUCCCUGCGGGCAGCCUGCUUCUCCCUCUGCCUAUGUCUCUGCCUCUCUCUCUGUG